rnacentral:rRNA from 1 species
GGAUGCGAUCAUACGCAGCACUAAAGCACCGGAUCCCAUCAGAACUCUGAAGUUAAGCGUGCUUGGGCGAGAGUAGUACUAGGAUGGGUGACCUCCUGGGAAGUCCUCGUGUUGCAUCCC